GAAAGUUGGGGGCUCGAAGACGAUCAGACACCGUCCUAGUCUCAACCAUAAACGAUGCCGACCAGGGAUCGGCGGAUGUUGCUUUUAGUACUCCGCCGGCACCUUAUGAGAAAUCAAAGUUUUUGGGU
rnacentral:ncRNA from 1 species